ensembl:lncRNA
ACACAAUUUGUCUUCUGUAUUUUGAUAUCAUACCAGUACCAGCUUUCAUUUGUAAAGCCGUUUAUGUGACGUUGCGGGGAAACGGGGAGAGAGGACGAGCGGAUUCAGUUUAUGAGUUUGAUGUAAUAAAAUGCAAAUAGAAGAUAACUAUUAAAGAAACAUAUUUUCUAAUUUUUGCAGUGCAUGGUUGAUUGGAAGUUUUUUGUUUCGUAUUUUGUAGGAGGCGUUUUGUUUUUUGCUUAUUACUAUUAUGCAUAAUCAUUAUUAGAGUUACAACUAUUAUUAUCAUUAUUAUUAUUCUUAUUAUUACCAAGCCAGAGUCUCUGCUGACUUUUUUCCUAAUCAAACUUUAAUUGUAGCAUGCCUUGAAUAAAUGUCAUGACAUCUGUACUUUCCUCAGUCCUCUGUCUCUUCGUCUCUUUCUCUUUGGGUUUGUGUCAGAUGCUGUAGGCCUGGACCCACGUCCAGCACUGCACAGCUUGUCCUGGAACUGACUGGGUCAGUGAAAGCACUCUAAGCCGAGUCAUUUUCAUCCUUCCAGUGCGUUCAGGGAGCAGUGCACUGGAGUGAAGUCCAGGCUCUAACUGUACCGCUGUCUUUCUCUUGCUUUUUCUUUAACUGCUACAGCCGCUAACUCGCAACAGAGGCCAGUCUCAGGCCUGGAGGGCUGCAACAGGGGUGCUGGAACCUAUCCCGGCGUUCACUGAAGGAAGGCAAGAAAUACCCUGGACAGGUUGCCAGUCCAUUACAGCGUAUGUGAACAAUCAAAAUGAAAUAAAAGUAAUUAUAUUUAUAGUUUUUGACAAUUUUUUUUUAAACUGGUGUUUUACAUUUUACUGGAUCUUUUUGUCUGUUCCAUCUCAUCAAAACAAAAUAUUGUGAUACUACUUUGUAUAUCAUGAACAUGUAUUGAAGUAUUUUGAUGUUGUCAUAUUGCCCACCCCCAUGAUGGGCUAAAUUCUGAAAUCCAGCAAUGGUGUUUAUAUACACUGUAGCAGCUUAAGACAGUGCUCACUGCAAGGCUUUGGAAUAAUCAGCAGACCUGCACAAUAUAUAAUUUGUGCGUGUGUGUGCGCGCG